rnacentral:rRNA from 1 species
UACCUUGUUGAUCCUGCCAAGGAAGCACACUUAGUCAUAGAUUAAGCCAUGCAAGUGUAGUUCAGGUAACGAAACUGCGAAUAGCUCAUUAAUACGCUCAGAAAAUCUAUUUGGCGGCGACAACAGGUCUUAAAUGGAUAGCAGCGCAACUCUGGUGCUAAUACAUGCGAUUGUUUUCCAGAUGUGAAUUAUGGAGGAAAAUGUUACCUCAUCAGAGCACGCCAUCGACUGAGUGACCUAUCAGCUGGACUUAUCUUUACCUAGGUAGGUAUCACGUACGGCGUUACCGUCGACUGCGGAGCAAGGCGCCUGAGAGAUUACGCGACUCAUACUCACGGGUAGCAGCAGGCGCGAAACUUUCCCACUCGAGACUUUCGGAGGAGGUAUGACCCAGUUCUUUCAUUGGUGCCUUUUGGUACUUGUGGAUAGGGUACGCGUUCUUCCAACCGGUACCGAAACCUAGCAGAGGGCAGUCUGGUGCCAGCAGCUGCGGGUAAUUCCAGCUCUGCGAGUUGUCCAAUUGUUGGGCGUUAAACACGCCCGUAUCUAAUGCCAGCAAUGGCUUCGUACGUUAUUUUUUACUGUUCACCAUGUGAACAAAUCAAGGACGUUAGAGUAUGCCCAUGAAUGACUCAGGCAUAUGAAGUCUUUGUUUUAUUCGAAAAUUACAAGCUCAAUAGAGCCAUCGGGUAGACUUGACUCAUGACGGAGUGGUGGAAUACUUGACUCAUGAAAAAGCUGAGCCGAAGGCGUUCUACUUAGAGGGUUUUCUGUCGACUCAAGGCAAGUAGGAUAUCAAAGGAUUAGAAGACCUGUAUCCUACCUUAACGAUCGACAGAGUUGUCAUUGUAAUGGCAGAAUCUUUGAAAAUCAUCAGUUUCUUGGCUCUGGGAACUACGACCGCAAGGCUGAAACUUGAAGGAAUUGACGGAAAGGGCACAACCAAGGCGGGUAGCUCUGUGCUUUAAUUUGAAUCCACCGGUGGAAAACUUACCAAGGACAGACAUGUUUUUAUGACUGACAAGGCUUCGGUCUUUCAGGAUAUUGUUUUUUGGUUGCAUGGCGCGUUGGUGUCGUGGGUUGACCUGUCUAAGCGUUGAUUCAGUAACGGAGCGAGAUUAUUCCAAUAACUUUGCCGAAAGUCCUUCGGUAAAGUUAUAAUUGGGACUCCCUGCGAUUAUUAAGCAGGUGGAACGAGGUAGCAAUAACAGUCCGUGAAUGCUUUAGAUGCACUGGGCUGCACGCGUGCUACAAUGUUAGGAUCAAGUAGGAAUGCAGAGCCUGAGGAGGGUGCGCUAACUUCUUAUAAUCCUAACGUAGUUGGGGAUUGACGUUUGUAAUCAGCGUCAUGAGACCAGGAAAUCCCUCUUACAUGUGGUGUCACAACGCCGCAGUUGAAUACGCUCCUGCCUUUGUACACACCGCCCGUCCUGCUCCUUACCAGAUUGGAAUGACUCGGUGAAAUCACCGGAUGCUACGACAGAAAAGUGAUUAAAUCACGUUAUCUAGAGGAAGGAGAACUCCAGUACAACGGUAACGGUAGGUGAACCUGCGUUGGAUC